GCAUUCAAGAUUGAACGCUGGCGGGAUGUGCAGCGCAAAUCAGGGCGGCGGCCUGGAACUUCGGUCUGGUGGCGAGUGGUGAACGGGUGAGUAAUGUAUCGGAACGUGCCCUAGCAGGGAUAACUGCGGCGUAGCUAAUACCGCAUACGCCCUUCUCGGGGAAAGCGGGGACCUUCGGGCCUCGCCAUUCGACGGCGUAAUCGGAUUGGCUAGUUGGUGGGGUAACGGCUCACCAAGGCGACGAUCAUGUGGUUUGAGAGGACGACCAGCCACACAGGACUGAGACACGGCCAGACUCCUGGGGAGGCAGCAGUGGGGAAUUUUGGACAAUGGGAGAGCCGCAGUCAGCCAUCCCGCGUGUGCGAUGAAGGCCUUCGGGUUGUAAAGCACUUUUGGCAGAAGAAACGGCGCAGGAUAAUACCCCGUGCAACUGGCGUGCUACAGAAUAAGCGCCGGCUAUUCGUGCCAGCAGCCGCGGUAAUACGUAGAAUUAUAAGCGGUGUCGGAAUUACUGGGCGUAAAGCGUGCGCAGAGCGGUUCGGAAAGAAAGAAAAUGUGAAAUCCCAGAGCUUAGCUUUGGAACUGCGGCACAACAGGCUGGGGUGUACUGUCGGAGGAGGUGGAAUUCCGCGUGUAGCAGUGAAAUGCGUAGAUGUGCGGAGGAACACCGAUGGCGGGGAAGCAGCCUCCUGGGAUAACACUGACGCUCAUGCACAGAAAGCGUGGGAGCAAACAGGAUUAGAUACCCUGGUAGUCCACGCCUAAACGAUGUCAACUAGCUGUUGGGGCCUUCAGGCCUUGGUGGCCUGAUUAACAGCGUGAAGUUGACCGCCUGGGAGGUACAGAUGUAAGUUAAAACUCAAAGGAAUUGACGGGGACCCGCACAAGCAGUGGAUGGUCUGGUUAAUUUCGAUGCAACGCGAAAAACCUUACCUACCCUUGACAUGUCUGGAAUCCCGAGAUUUGGGAGUGCUCGCAAGGGGAACCGGAACACAGGUGCUGCAUGGCUGUCGUCGGCUCGUGUCGUGAGAUGUUGGGUUGAAGUCCCGCAACGAGCGCAACCCUUGUCAUUAGUUGCUACGAAAGGGCACUCUAAUGAGACUGCCGGUGACAAACCGGAGGAAGGUGGGGAUGACGUCUCAGUCCUCAUGGCCCUUAUGGGUAGGGCUUCACACGUCAUACAAUGGUCAGGACAGAGGAUUCGCCAACCCGCGAGGAGAAUAAUCCCAGAAACCCGAUCGUAGUCGGAUCACAGUCUGCAACUCGACUGCGUGAAGUCGAAUCGCUAGUAAUCGCGGAUCAGCAUGUCGCGGUGGAAUGCGUUCCGGUGCAAUACACACCGCCCGUCACACCAUGGGAGUGGGUUUUACGAAGUAGUUAGCCUAACCGUAAGGAGGGCGAUUACCACGGUGACGGUUAUGUUCAGAGGUGAAGUCAUCGGGGUAA
rnacentral:rRNA from 1 species